UACGUAGGGGGCUAGCGUUGUCCGGAUUUAUUGGGCGUAAAGAGCGUGUAGGCGGCCUGAUAGGUCGGUUGUGAAAACUGGAGGCUUAACCUUCAGACGUCGGCCGAAACCAUCUGGCUAGAGUCCGGAAGAGGAGAGUGGAAUUCCUGGUGUAGCGGUGAAAUGCGCAGAUAUCAGGAAGAACACCCGUGGCUAAGGCGGCUCUCUAGUACGGUACUGACGCUGAGACGCGAAAGCGUGGGGAGCGAACAGG
rnacentral:rRNA from 1 species